rnacentral:rRNA from 1 species
AUUGAACGCUGGCGGCAGGCCUAACACAUGCAAGUCGAGCGGAGAGGCGGACGGGUGAGUAAGGCCAAGGAAUCUGCCUGGUAGUGGGGGAUAACGUAAGGAAACGGGCGCGAAUACCGCAUACUCUCAGAUGAGCCUAGGUCGGAUUAGCUAGUUGGUGGGGGAAAGGCCUACAAAGGCGACGAUCCGUAACUGUUCUGAGAGGAUGAUCAGUCACACUGGAACUGAGACACGGUCCAGACUCCUACGGGAGGCAGCAGUGGGGAAUAUUGGACAAUGGGCGAAAGCCUGAUCCAGACAUGCCGCGUGUGUGAAGAAGGGCUUCGGAUUGUAAAGCACUUUCAGUUGGGAGGCGUUACCAACAGAAUAAGCACCGGCUAACUUCGUGCCAGCAGCCGCGGUAAUAC